rnacentral:rRNA from 1 species
AUCCUACGGGGGGCAGCAGUGAGGAAUAUUGGUCAAUGGGCGAGAGCCUGAACCAGCCAAGUCGCGUGAGGGAUGACUGCCCUAUGGGUUGUAAACCUCUUUUGUAUGGGGGGAAUAAGCUUUACGAGUAGAGUGAUGACAGUACCAUACGAAUAAGCAUCGGCUAACUCCGUGCCAGCAGCCGCGGUAAUACGGAGGGUGCGAGCGUUAAUCGGAAUUACUGGGCGUAAAGCGCUCGUAGGCGGUAUGUCAAGUCAAGGGUGAAAUCCCCGCGCUCAACGUGGGAACUGCCUUUGAAACUGGCA